UACACCCUCAACUUCGGGUAGGGACUACCCCGCUGAACUUAAACAUAUCAAAUAAGCCGGAAGGGA
rnacentral:rRNA from 1 species